rnacentral:misc_RNA from 1 species
AAGUCGUAACAAGGUUUCCGUAGGUGAACCUGCGGAAGGAUCAUUACCGAGUGAGGGUUCUCUUUCCGAGGCCCGACCUCCCAACCCUUUGUUUGAUAUGACCUCUGUUGCUUCGGCAGGCCGUUUCUCCCUCGGAGUCCCUGUGAGGGGAGACCGGGGAGACGCCGGCGGUCCUUUGGGGGCCUCUGGAGAGCGCCCGUCGAUAGCCCAUCUCAAAACUCUUGACAAAACGAUCUAUCUAAAAAACUUAUUCAGUUAUACACCAAUAACAAAAAUAAAACUUUCAACAACGGAUCUCUUGGUUCUG